UUUGCCAGGAUUAAACCCACGAUAUUUUACAAUUUGUAUGUGAACCCCGAUGAAGUGUUUCUAGGAGAUGGCUGCCAUGUAACCCAUGUUUUGCCAAAUGUCUACUAUGAGUUUUUCUACCAUCCUCAUGACUGUGGUAUUGUAACUCAACCUCUCCAGGAAGUUCUUCUGCUUAAAACUAAAAUCAGGUAUAUCUCAAGAGACUCUACUGUCCGAUCUGAAAUGCCUCUGUCGUGUGUCGUCCACAAUCAGCAUCAUCUUUUAAAUGCAGUUGAAAUGAGAGAUGGGGAAACUGACAAUGUUAAUGAAUGGGAGAUAGAGGUGAGGAUACACAUUGCGAAUGAAGACAUGGGCAGUAACUUCUGCAACACAAUCUUGUGUCUAUAACCUGUUCUGAAUCCUGGCUCCAGGUCAAACUUAGACGAACGCCGCUGUUAAAUGACCUGCAACCUUUGCAAAACGAACUCUCUCUAGGAAUUGGCUGUCCUGUAAACAUGGUCGAGGUGGAUUUCUUUGGGUUCCUGUAUCUUCUAACUUUUUGUGGCAUCAGAGUGAGCGAACAUGGAGUAGGUAUUCUCAUUGAAAGUUUAAUUGUAUAUGAACCAACGAAUUUUGACUUCAAUUUACACAUCCCAGUAUCAUGCUAUGUGCAAAGAAGGUUUCCAAUAAUCUUAGUAAUGAGAGGGAGAGAGAAUGAUAGCCGUCGUGAAUGCAGAAGGUCAGUGGGACAGCACCGCUCACUAUCACAUGAACUUGAAGACUUGGAAAUCCGUCCAAGAGUGUCCUAUGUGAACAGUGUUCCCUUGUUGAGCUACCUCAUUGUAUCCCUUCCUAAGUGUAAGAACAAAGCUGUACAUUCUGGAUGAUGAGGCUACCCUACUUCACCUGAUUCUCUUGAAAUUCUUCACUCCUAAUCUCUGGAUUAUGGAUCAGUUGACAAAAGUAACAAGGGGUCAUAAUUGCAGCAUACUCUAGUCCUGAUAAGGCUGUCAAACAGUUUAGAGCCCUGGAUAAAUAAGGCUUCCUGCAAAUCUCUGCCCUUUUUUAACCAGUCAGAGGGAGGAAGCUCUGCCUCAGAGUUUAGAAGAUGUAAAGGGCCUGGGGCCAGGAAGAUUUCCAGAACAGCAAAAAUCCAGAAAGCCUUCCUCAUUUGAACAAAAUGU
rnacentral:lncRNA from 1 species